CCUACGGGAGGCAGCAGUAGGGAAUCUUCCACAAUGGGCGAAAGCCUGAUGGAGCAACGCCGCGUGGGUGAAGAAGGUCUUCGGAUCGUAAAACCCUGUUGUUAGAGAAGAAAGUGCGUGAGAGUAACUGUUCACGUUUCGACGGUAUCUAACCAGAAAGCCACGGCUAACUACGUGCCAGCAGCCGCGGUAAUACGUAGGUGGCAAACGUUAUCCGGAUUGAUUGGGCGUAAAGGGAACGCAGGCGGUCUUUUAAGUCUGAUGUUAAAGCCUUCGGCUUAACCGGAGUAGUGCAUUGGAAACUGGGAGACUUGAGUGCAGAAGAGGAGAGUGGAACUCCAUGUGUAGCGGUGAAAUGCGUAGAUAUAUGGAAGAACACCAGUGGCGAAAGCGGCUCUCUGGUCUGUAACUGACGCUGAGGUUCGAAAGCGUGGGUAGCAAACAGGAUUAGAUACCCGAGUAGUC
rnacentral:rRNA from 1 species